ACCAGUUACCACAGUUGCCAAGGGCACUUAUACCUUUAUAAGUGCCCUUGGCAACUGUGGUAACUGGU